AUUGGACGCUGGCGGCAGGCCUAACACGUGCAAGUCGAACGGUAACAGGAAGAAGCUUGCUUCUUUGCUGACGAGUGGCGGACGGGUGAGUAAUGUCUGGGAAACUGCCUGAUGGAGGGGGAUAACUACUGGAAACGGUAGCUAAUACCGCAUAACGUCGCAAGACCAAAGAGGGGGACCUUCGGGCCUCUUGCCAUCGGAUGUGCCCAGAUGGGAUUAGCUAGUAGGUGGGGUAACGGCUCACCUAGGCGACGAUCCCUAGCUGGUCUGAGAGGAUGACCAGCCACACUGGAACUGAGACACGGUCCAGACUCCUACGGGAGGCAGCAGCGGGGAAUAUUGCACAAUGGGCGCAAGCCUGAUGCAGCCAUGCCGCGUGUAUGAAGAAGGCCUUCGGGUUGUAAAGUACUUUCAGCGGGGAGGAAGGGAGUAAAGUUAAUACCUUUACUCAUUGACGUUACCCGCAGAAGAAGCACCGGCUAACUCCGUG
rnacentral:rRNA from 1 species